AGGGGAAUUUCGACUGGUUCGAUGUGAUCCAAUUAUUUAACCUUCUACCAUCGGACCAGGCUUCAUUCCCCC
rnacentral:pre_miRNA from 1 species